rnacentral:sRNA from 1 species
CUCUCCAGUUCACCUUACAGCGUAAGAUGCAGGCACCUAACCGAUCAUUAUAACCUGUUGGUGAAAAUCGAGGUUUCAUCGAAGGAUGCAAGUUGCAGGCCGGAGUGAUUUUUCCUAGGGGUAUCUGGGUUUGGAUGGUGUUAUGACUAAGUGGAUCAAUCUUCCUGUCCUACACCUGACCAAGGAUCCCCUAAAGACCCCUGGAAGGCUGGACCAUGGCACAAGAACUGCCUUCAUCCAUCACCGGGAGCAAGUGUGGAAGAGAUGCAUCAACAUUUGGCGUGAUGUGGGCCUUUUUGGGGUGCUAAAUGAAAUUGCAAACUCAGAAGAAGAGGUGUUUGAGUGGGUGAAGACGGCAUCCGGCUGGGCCAUGGCACUCUGUCAAUGGGCCUCUUCUCUCCAUGGGUCCCUCUUCCCCCAUCUGUCUCUCAGGAGCGAAGAUCUGAUUGCUGAAUUUGCCCAAGUCACAAAUUGGUCCAGCUGCUGCUUGCGUGUCUUUGCAUGGCACCCCCACACCAACAAGUUUGCAGUGGCCCUGCUAGAUGACUCA